rnacentral:rRNA from 1 species
UACGUAGGGUGCGAGCGUUAAUCGGAAUUACUGGGCGUAAAGUGUGCGCAGGCGGCGUUGCAAGUCGAGUGUGAAAUCCCCGAGCUUAACUUGGGAAUUGCGCUCGAAAUUACGAUGCUCGAGUGUGGCAGAGGAAGGUGGAAUUCCACGUGUAGCGGUGAAAUGCGUAGAGAUGUGGAGGAACACCGAUGGCGAAGGCAGCCUUCUGGGCCAACACUGACGCUCAUGCACGAAAGCGUGGGGAGCAAACAGG